rnacentral:rRNA from 1 species
AGAGCGUAAGGUGAAUGCCUUGGCAUCAGGAGCCGAAGAAGGACGCGACAAGCUGCGAUAAGCUGCGGGGAGCUGCAAAUAAGCAUUGAUCCGCAGAUUUCCGAAUGUGGAAACACACACGGUGAAGAACCGUGUAGCGUAAACUGAAUACAUAGGUUUACGCGGGGAACCCCGGGAACUGAAACAUCUAAGUACCGGGAGGAAGAGAAAUCAACCGAGAUUCCGCGAGUAGUGGCGAGCGAAAGCGGAGGAGGCUAAACCGACAGUAGAAAUACGGUCGGGGUUCGGACUGUUGUAAGCGAGCGGAAGUUAGUCGAAUGGCAUGGGAAGGCCAGCCGGAGGGAGUGAAAGCCUCGUAGGCGAAAACGGAAGCGAGUGAACAGAAUCCAGAGUAUCAGCGGACACGAGAAAUCCGGUGAGAACGUGGGGGGACCACCCUCUAAGCCUAAAUACUACCUGAUGACCGAUAGUGGAGCAGUACUGUGAAGGAAAGGUGAAAAGAACCCCGGGAGGGGAGUGAAAGAGAACCUGAAACCUUAUGCUUACAAGCACACAGAGCCCCGUAUGCGGGUGAUGUGGUACUUUUUGUAGAACGGUCCGGCGAGUUAUGGUAUGCAGCGAGGUUAAGUGAUUCAGUCACGGAGCCGCAGGGAAACCGAGUGUGAACAGCACGUAGAGUUGCAUGUCAUAGACCCGAAACCGGGUGACCUAUCCAUGAGCAGGUUGAAGUCAGGGUAAAGCCUGAUGGAGGACCGAACCGACCCCCGUUGAAAAGUUGGCGGAUGACUUGUGGAUAGCGGAGAAAUUCCAAUCGAACCCGGAUAUAGCUGGUUCUCCCCGAAAUAGCUUUAGGGCUAGCCUCGAAUAUAUUUACCGGAGGUAAAGCACUGAAUGGUCGAGGGGUCGAGAGACUACCAACACCUAUCAAACUAAGAAUACCGGAUAAAUGAGUUCGGGAGUCAGACUACGUGAGAUAAGUCUCGUGGUCAAAAGGGAAACAGCCCAGACCCACAGCUAAGGUCCCCAAUGUAUGCUAAGUGGAAAACGAUGUGACAAUGCUAAGACAACUAGGAUGUUGGCUUAGAAGCAGCCACUCAUUCAAAGAGUGCGUAAUAGCUCACUAGUCGAGUGCCGUCGCGCCGAAGAUUUAACGGGGCUGAAGCAUACAACCGAAGCUUAGGCAGUAGAAAUACUGGGUAGGGGAGCGUUCUCAUCGGGGUGAAGCAUCACCGGAAGGAGGUGUGGACUGAUGAGAAGUGAGAAUGCCGGAAUGAGUAGCGAGAAUUGCGUGAGAAUCGUAAUGGCCGAAAAUCUAAGGUUUCUUGGGGAAGGUUCGUCCGCCCAAGGUAAGCCGGGAGCUAAGGCGAGGCCGCAAGGCGUAGUCGAUGCACAUACGGUAGAAAUUCCGUAGCCACCGAACUUUAAACCAGAAGGACACUUGCAGAUAGCGGAACCCAGCCGUUGGUUGAGCUGGGCGAAAGGGACUGAAAUAUAGUAGGGAAGUCCGCGAUGCUGUGAGGCGAGAAAAGCUCUGGUGUAUACUAAGGUGCCCGUACCGCAAACCGACACAGGUAGAUGAGGAGAGAAUCCUAAGGCCAACGGGAGAAGGGUUGUUAAGGAACUCGGCAUAUUGACCCCGUAACUUCGGAAGAAGGGGUGCCUCCGUAAGGAGGCCGCAGUGAAAAGGCCCAGGCAACUGUUUAUCAAAAACACAGGUUUCUGCAAAAGCGAAAGCUGAAGUAUAGGAGCUGACGCCUGCCCGGUGCUGGAAGGUCAAGGGGAUCGCUUAGCGCAAGCGAAGGCGAGAACUUAAGCCCCAGUAAACGGCGGCCGUAACUAUAACGGUCCUAAGGUAGCGAAAUUCCUUGUCAGGUAAGUUCUGACCCGCACGAAUGGCGUAAUGAUCUGGGCACUGUCUCAACAGCCCGCCCGGCGAAAUUGUAGUACCGGUGAAGAUGCCGGUUUCCUGCGACUAGACGGAAAGACCCCAUGGAGCUUUACUGUAGUCUGAUACUGAAAUUUGGUUCAUUAUGCACAGGAUAGGUGGGAGACAGAGAAACCCGGGCUUUGGCUUGGGCGGAGUCGCCGUUGGGAUACCACUCUUGAUGAACCAAGUUUCUAACCUGCUCCCGUGAUCCGGGAGGGGGACAAUGUCAGAUGGGCAGUUUGACUGGGGCGGUCGCCUCCAAAAGAGUAACGGAGGCGUUCAAAGGUUGGCUCAGCGCGGACGGAAAUCGCGCAAUGAGUAUAAACGUAUAAGCCAGCCUAACUGUGAGACCUACAAGUCGAGCAGUAACGAAAGUUGGAGUUAGUGAUCAGGUGGUAGUGAGUGGAAAUGCCAUCGCUUAACGGAUAAAAGCUACCCUGGGGAUAACAGGCUGAUCUCCCCCAAGAGUUCACAUCGACGGGGAGGUUUGGCACCUCGAUGUCGGCUCAUCACAUCCUGGAGCUGGAGAAGGUUCCAAGGGUUCGGCUGUCCGCCGAUUAAAGUGGUACGCGAGCUGGGUUCAGAACGUCGUGAGACAGUUCGGUCCCUAUCUGUCGUGGGCGUUGGAUAUUUGAGAAGGGCUGACCUUAGUACGAGAGGACCGGGUCGGACGCACCUCCUGUGCACCAGUUGUCCUGCCAAGGGCAUAGCUGGGUAGCGGCGUGCGGUUUUGAUAAACGCUGAAGGCAUCUAAGCGUGAAGCAUGCUUCAAGAUGAGAUAUCCCAUCAUUUCAAAUGAGUAAGGUCACUUGCAGACUACAAGUUGAUAGGUCGGGUGUGUAAGCACGGUAACGUGUUCAGCUAACCGAUACUAAUUGACCGAGGGCUUGAACC